CAGUCGCCGCGGUAAUACAGAGGGUGCGAGCGUUAAUCGGAUUUACUGGGCGUAAAGCGUGCGUAGGCGGCUUCUUAAGUCGGAUGUGAAAUCCCUGAGCUUAACUUAGGAAUUGCAUUCGAUACUGGGAAGCUAGAGUAUGGGAGAGGAUGGUAGAAUUCCAGGUGUAGCGGUGAAAUGCGUAGAGAUCUGGGGGAAUACCGAUGGCGAAGGCAGCCAUCUGGCCUAAUACUGACGCUGAGGUACGAAAGCAUGGGGAGCAAACAGGAUUAGAUACCCCUGUAGUCCCUGUCUCUUAUAC
rnacentral:rRNA from 1 species